AUACGUAGGGGGAGAGCGUUGUCCGGAAUGAUUGGGCGUAAAGGGCGCGUAGGCGGCCCGGUAAGUCUGGAGUGAAAGUCCUGUUUUUAAGAUGGGAAUUGCUUUGGAUACUGUCGGGCUUGAGUGCAGGAGAGGUAAGUGGAAUUCCCAGUGUAGCGGUGAAAUGCGUAGAGAUUGGGAGGAACACCAGUGGCGAAGGCGACUUACUGGACUGUAACUGACGCUGAGGCGCGAAAGUGUGGGGAGCAAACAGGAUUAGAUACCCUGGUAGUCCACACUGUAAACGAUGAAUGCUAGGUGUAGGGGGUAUCGACCCCUUCUGUGCCGCAGUCAACACAAUAAGCAUUCCGCCUGGGGAGUACGGCCGCAAGGUUGAAACUCAAAUGAAUUGACGGGG
rnacentral:rRNA from 1 species